rnacentral:rRNA from 1 species
CCGGCUAACUCCGUGCCAGCAGCCGCGGUAAUACGGAGGGNGCAAGCGUUAUCCGGAAUCAUUGGGUUUAAAGGGUCCGUAGGCGGGCAUAUAAGUCAGUGGUGAAAUGCUGUGGCUCAACCAUAGCACUNCCAUUGAUACUGUAUNUCUUGAAUUAUUGUGAAGUGGUUAGAAUAUGUAGUGUAGCGGUGAAAUGCUUAGAGAUUACAUAGAAUACCGAUUGCGAAGGCAGAUCACUAACAAUAUAUUGUCGCUGAUGGACGAAAGCGUAGGUAGCGANCAGGAUUAGAUNCCCUGGUAGUNUACGCCGUAAACGAUGGAUACUAGUUGUUUGGUUUUCGGACUGAGUGNCUAAGCGAAAGUGAUAAGUAUCCCACCUGGGGAGUACGUUCGCAAGAAUGAAACUCAAAGGAAUUGNCGGGGGCCCGCNCAAGCGGUGGAGCAUGUGNUUUAAUUCGAUGAUACGCGAGGAACCUUACCAGGGCUUAAAUGUAGAUUGACAGGUUUAGAGAUAGNCUUUUCUUCGGACAAUUUACAAGNUGCUGCAUGGUUGUCGUCAGCUCGUGCCGUGAGGUGUCAGGUUAAGUCCUAUANCGAGCGCAACNCCUGUUGUUAGUUGCCANCGAGUCAUGUCGGGAACUCUAACAAGACUGCCGGUGCAAACCGCGAGGAAGGUGGGGAUGACGUCAAAUCAUCACGGCCCUUACGUCCUGGGCCACACACGUGCUACAAUGGUA